AUUGAACGCUGGCGGCAGGCCUAACACAUGCAAGUCGAGCGGGGUUUUCGGACCUAGCGGCGGACGGGUGAGUAAUGCGUAGGAAGCUACCCGAUAGAGGGGGAUACCAGUUGGAAACGACUGUUAAUACCGCAUAAUGUCUACGGACCAAAGUGUGGGACCUUCGGGCCACAUGCUAUCGGAUGUGCCUACGUGGGAUAGCUAGUUGGUGAGGUAAUGACUCACCAAGGCGACGACCCCUAGCUGGUUUGAGAGGAUGAUCAACCACACUGGAGCUGAGACACGGUCCAGACUCCUACGGGAGGCAGCAGUGGGGAAUAUUGGACAAUGGGCGCAAGCCUGAUCCAGCCAUGCCGCGUGUGUGAAGAAGGCCUUCGGGUUGUAAAGCACUUUCAGUAAGGAGGAAGCGUUGAGUGUUAAUAGUACUCGGCGUUGACGUUACUUACAGAAGAAGCACCGGCUAACUCUGUGCCAGCAGCCGCCGUAAAAC
rnacentral:rRNA from 1 species